AUUGAACGCUGGCGGCAGUCCUAACACAUGCAAGUCGAGCGAGCGGCGGACGGGUGAGUAAUGUCUGGGAAACCGCCUGCUGGAGGGGGAUAACUACUGGAAACGGUAGCUAAUACCGCAUACCAUCAGAUGUUCCCAGAUGGGAUUAACUAGUAGGUGGGGUAAUGGCUCACCUAGGCGACGAUCCCUAGCUGGUCUGAGCGGAUGCCCAGCCACACUGGAACUGAGACACGGUCCAGACUCCUACGGGAGGCAGAAGUGGGGAAUAUUGCACAAUGGGCGAAAGCCGGAUGCAGCCAUGCCGCGUGUGUGAAGAAGGCCUUAGGGUUGUAAAGAACUUGCAGCGGGGAGGCGUUACCCGCAGAAGAAGCACCGGCUAACUCCGUGCCAGCAGCCGCGGUAAUUC
rnacentral:rRNA from 1 species